rnacentral:rRNA from 1 species
AUUGAACGCUGGCGGCACGCUUUACACAUGCAAGUCGAACGGUAACAUUGGUGCUUGCACCAGAUGACGAGUGGCGCACGGGUGCGUAACGCGUAUGCAACCUACCUUUUACUAGAGUAUAGCCCAGAGAAAUUUGGAUUAAUCCUCUAUAAUAUCUUUUAAUUUCAUGAUUUUAAGAUUAAAGUUUUAACGGUAAAGAUGGGCAUGCGUCCCAUUAGUUUGUAGGUGAGGUAACGGCUCACCUAGACUACGAUAGGUAGGGGCCCUGAGAGGGGGAUCCCCCAACUGGUACUGAGACACGGACCAGACUCCUACGGGGAGCAGCAGUAAGGAAUAUUGGGACAAUGGACGAAAGUCUGAUCCAGCCAUGCCGCGUGCAGGAUGACAGCCC